GUCUUGUCCUUCUACACCACUCUCAGACAAGGAAUGAUUUCCAGUGACUCUCAAACUUGAAUAGGCAGAGAUGAGGUGGGUAAAUGCAGGUUCCCAGGCCCCACCAGGCACUAUGAAAGCUGGUGGUCCAAGGUAGGGCCCAGGAGCCUACAGCUGAGCCCAUCAAGGUCAACCCCAGGCGAUUCUGAGGCUGGGUCAAUUCCUGAUUUUACUGCCAAGAUUCUGCAGCUGUGAGGUUACGUGACAUUGUUAAGGUCUCCCAAGUGCCACCAGCAGGGGCUGCAACAGGAAGCCGGACGGUCCAGCCCCAGAGCCUGGGUUCCUCACUCCAACUCUCAACACCCCCUGCAGUUUUCUGUUCAAGCCCCACAGUCAUGGCAACAGGAGGAAAGAGACUCCAGAUGUGGCUGGGUUUUCUGGCUCCAGGACACCGGGCUUGACUCCCCUUCUCCUUCCACAAGUGCCCGGAACCCAGGAGGAUGAAGCAGGGUCUGCUGGCUCAGGAAGCACUGCUGUGGCCGCGCAGGCUGGCCUCCUCCAGUCGCAGGGAGAGGCUGCCCCAACCGACAGGCUCCCAGGGCUGGACAGGACCGGAUGGGACUCUGGACUUGUCAAGGUCGCCAGCGUUCUUGGCUCCUGGAACCUCCCCCCCACCAAGUCAAAGCAGCUGGAAGGCAAGUGUGGGAGCCGCAUCUGAGUCCCAGAAGAGGCUCUGCCCCAGGCCCUGCCUCUUACUGACCAAAGUGACAAACCUCGUGACCUCCACCUUCCC